ACACAGCCAUUUUCUUAGCAGCUUUUUGACUGUAUGUUACCAUAGUCCCACAAGGCAUUGGUCCUUUCCCACUGGGAAGUCAUGAAUAAGAGACUAUGAAGCUUGCACGUCAGAUCUUCCUCAAUUAAUCCACCAUUAGCAUGUUUGGGAUCCACUACUGGAUGGUUAACAGCAGCUUUUGUAACUGUACGCCGACCAUAUCCAAUUAUGCUCUGCUAAAAAUGAACUCUUUGCAGACCAACCCUCUCGGCUGUCAGUGUUUUCCGUUUUCCUAUUUUAACGUUUGUGUAUAGUGGCAGGCGACAGAUGGUGUAGAUCAGAUCGAUUUGAUUGCAUUAGAUGAUUUUUUCCCUUCCCCACUCCUUUCUGGAAGCUCGCAUCAGCUGAAGGCUAUCGCCUGGGACUCCUCGGAAGCAUGAGCAAGCCGCCACCACGCGAAGGCACUGGGGCACAGCCAGCGCGAGGCGCCGAGGUCCCUUCCCAGGGCUUGUUAACACUGUAACCCGGCACUCGGAGAGAAGAAGCAGCUCCCACUGCCCAGAGCCUACCUCACUGCACAUCAGAUGACUCCCUGGCUUCUACACACAGUUGGAGUUCCGCUUGAAACCUGGAUUUAGAGGGGUUCUCUGGCUGCCAUGGCACUCAAUCAAACCACCUAGAGUGGACUGGCCGAGACCAGACUGGGUACCAAGCAGAGAAGUGCAGAGGAAAGCACUGGGAGAGCACCAGAAUUGGAAAUAGAGCGGCCAUUUGGAUUUGGGCAGGAAGCAGCCGAGCACAGCUUUGGAUCCUUCUUUAGGGAAAUCGAGUUAUGGAUUUAUGGUCCCGGUCAAGCUCAGCCCAUCCCCAGGCAGGGGCGGGCUCAGCGAGCAGCAAGAGUUCUGGUGGCGGCGGCGGCGGCAGUAGCAGCGGCAGCGGUAGCAGCGGCAGCGGCAGCUUGGUCCUCUGACUCUCUUCGGUGACGGGUAUUCUUGGGUGGAUAAUACGGAUUACGUUGUUAUUGCUUAAGAAUACGCGUAGUCGAGGAGAGUACCAGCGGCAGGGGGGCAGCGGCCGCCCUCCCCAGCCCACCAGCUGGCCACUAAACGCCCGUGGUUGCCAAGGCAUCCAAAGCCUCUGGGAUGUGUUCUGACUGUAAAAACUCUGAUGUUGUGAAAAAAGCUUACGUUUUGCCUCCACUCAAACCAGUUGGUGUUUCGCUCUUAUUGCCCAGGCUGGAGUGCAAUGACGUGAUCUUGGCUCACCACAGCCUCUGCAUCCAGGAUUCAAGCUAUUCCCCUGCCUCAGCCUCCCAAAAUGCUGGGAUUAUAGGCGUGAGCCACCACUCCUGGCCAGCACUCCCAAUUUUUAAAAAUGCAUGAUUGACAAAAAUCUUAGAAAGCCGUUUUCUGUAGAUUUGAAAGCAAUGCUAUUUACAUUGUUACUACUUUCUUGUUAAAUCUUGCAUGUCUGCAGUAUGUGUUGUAAUAGAAACCUAAGAUUAUGAUCUGCUGUAUUCAUAUUUUAAAAAGAAAAUUUCAGACUGUAUAAUCAACUAGUUGAUGAUUCAUAUUUGCUUGUACAAAGUUAAAAGUGUAACUUGCCAGAAAAGAAGGAAGCCUGAAAAGUAUUCUAAAUACAUUAAUAAGAAGGGUUCUACAUGAAUUAAUUUUUGUUUUGCCAUCUACAGAGUUCCUGCCACAUUCUAGGCACUUCAUAUUUGCUGCAACAUUUAUUCAGACAUUGACAGAACAAGAGAAAAGAAGUUAAAUUUUAAGUACCAUGGAUUGAAAUUAAACUUAGGGAAGAUAUUUUAUCGUAUGAAUUGUUCAUCUGUAUUUAACAAGGUAUUCAUUUAUUUUGGGUGAUUUAAGGAAGGUCCUUUCUGGAAACAGGAUUACAAACAUACGGACCUAUUUAGUCAAUUUCAACCUUGUGAUUUUGAAUCUGACAGGUUCUCAGCUGCUUUUAUUAAAUAACGGAUUUUCUUAAUAAUUACUGUACUCAAACUUAGCAAAAAGCUCUAUUUAUAGCCCAGUUUUUUAGUCACACACUAUUGUGUCUUGUCAAAUUGAAACCAUAUACUACAUUCUUUACUUAUUAAGAUGGUCUUUUUUUGUAAUAAUUUUGGAGUAGAUAGUUUACUUAUCUAAACCUCUGAUUUCUCAUUUAAUAGAUUUUUGAAGCAUUUAUUUUCCUUACCAUACAUAAAAAUUGUCAGUUGAGGACAAGGAAGGAUUAACCUGGACUACGGUGAAUAAUUGUUCAGGUUGCUUACUGUGUAACUCCAGAGGAGCAUUCACAUGGUACAAUUUGCAGAUUUAAGUAUUUAUUACAACCAUUUUCUGGCAGAUAACAGUGGAACACCCUGUUCUGUUAAAAUUAGUUUAUUAUGACAAAUUGCCUACAGAUGGACAUAAAGUGUCUUGAGGAAGGGCACCUGCUUUGGACUGAAUCGUGUCCCCCCAAAAUCAAAUGUUGAAGCCUAAUCUCUAAUAUGAUGGUAUUUGGAGAUGGGGCCUUUGGGAGAUAACUAGGUUUAGAUGAGGUCAAGAGCGUGGGGCCUUCCUGAUUAGUACCCUGAAAAGAGAAUACACCAGAGAGCUUGCCCUCUCUCCCUCUUACCCCACAGGCACACAAAGAGGUCAUGUGAGUACACAGUCAGAUAACAACCACCUGUGAGAAAACAGAAGAGGCUUCAGAGUGAAAUCUACUUUGCUGGUACUGUAAUCUUGGACAUUAUUCUCAAGAACUGUGAGAUAAUAAAUUUAUCUUAUUUAAGCCACCCAGUCUAUGGUAUUUUGUUAUGGCACCCUGAACUAAGACAAAUUUUGGUACCAAGAAAUGGGGGUGCUACUGUAACUAAUACCUAAACAUGGGGAAAUGGCUUUGGAAUUGGAUAGUGAGUAGAGGCUCAAGAAUUUUCAGGUGCAUCCUAAACAUAUGAACAAACAGUAAAGGUGAUUCUGGUGAGACCUCAGAUGGAAUUGAGGAAUAUGUUAUUGGAAACUGGAAGGACGGUGAUUCUUGUUACAAAGUGGCAAAAAACUUAGGUGAACUGUAUUCUAGUGUUUUGGGGAAGGUAGAACUUGUGAGUGAUGAAAUUAAAUAUUUGACAUUUCUAAGCAAUAUGAUGAGGGAGCAGCUGGUUUCCUCCUGACCAUUUCUGCUGAAAUGAAAAAAGAAAAAAGAUAAGUUGAAGAAGAAAUUGUUCAGCAAAAAGGAACCAGAACUUGAAGAUUUGGGAAAUUCUCAGCUUAUCCACAUUAUUAAAAAAUGACAAAAACUUGCUCUGAAAAUAACACUAGGAGUGUGACUGGACAACCAUUUGAUAAGAGUUUAUGAGAUUAUGUGAGCAGAAAUUCUGCCAGUUUGAACUGAAGGGGAUGAAGAUGGGACAAAAAGAAUGAAGGCUUCGAGACUUCUUGGGUUAGACAUGAUGGGCUGAUUUGCUUAUUUGGCUGUGAACCUGCACUAUUUUUCAAGGAGAGGAAAAAAUGGCCCCAAAGGCAAUUCAGAGAUAGCCAGAGCCACAGCCUCAGUUUCAACAGGCUGGACAGUCUCCACUCAGCUCUUUGGAGGCAGAACCACUCAGAGGACUCAAGCCUGUCAGAGCUAGGGGGUGGGGCUGGCAAUCCCACAGGGUGGAAAGGAUGGGGCUAUCCUGCAAAUCCAUGUGGGUGAUGUUUUGGGUGGAAUGCUCUGGACUGAACUGUCCUCCCAUCCCCUGCUCAGAUUCUGUGUUGAAGCCCUUACCUCCAGUGUUACGGUAUUUGGACAUGGGGCCUUUGUAAGAUAAUUGGGUUUAGAUGAGAUCAUGAGAGUGAGGCCCUCAGGAUUAGUGCCCUUAUAAGAAACCUCAGAAAGCUUGCGAGUUCUCUCUCUCUCUCUUUCUUUUUCUUUCUCUCUCUCUCUCCCCGUGUGUGUGUGUGUGUGUGCGCGUGUGUGUGUGUGCGCGCGCGCGCGCAUCAUGUGGAAACACAGCACAAAGGCAGCCUCUGCAAGCCAGGAAGAGGGCUCACGAGAACUCAAUCAAGCUGGCACCCCAAUCUCAAACUUCCACCCUCCAAAACUGUGAGAAAAUAAAUUUCUGUUGUUUAUGCUACCUAGUCUACAGUAUUUUGUGCUGAGCUGACUAAUACAGUUCCUUUCCAGAUUGUACAAAAAUGCCACAUGAAUCAGAGCUCACCAGCUCUAGUAGGUAUGAUUGUUCAGUGUUCAGCAUAUAGGAAACACUGGGGAAAUGCUCAUAUGUUCAAUGAAGAAAAUAUGCAUAACAAGUGAUUUAACAAUAAUGUGAUAAUUCAUUGGAUUACUCUAAGAAAUAUGAGUUUUUUUAUGGCAAACUCUCCACAACACACUUGAUAAUAGAUUGAGAGGAAGAUGGCUGUGUAAAUAAUUAAGCUGAAAAAAUAAGUUACAUUUGCUCUCACAGAUCAGUGGUCAAAGAGAGACAAAAUGCUGAGGGUGGGGUGGGGUGGACAGGACAUUGAGGAUCAAAAGCACUUGGGAUCAGCUUCAAACUGAAGGUAAUAACUGGAAUCUUAGACACGGGUUUUUCCAGGAAAACAAAAUGAGAGAAGUCAGAUCAAGCAGAGGAAGUUGUAUGAACAAUCACUAAACUUCCUGACUUAUUCUCCAAGUUUCUUAUUCCUAAACUACAAAUAUCUUGAUUGCAUUCUGAGAACAUGCUGUGCCUCCCUCUGUCUUAGCAGUCACUACUUUAUAUUAAAAUAUAUUUUGAUGCUUUCCUUUCCCAUAGAUUCUCCAAGUCAUAAACAAUACCCCCAGCACCUAGCACAGAGCCUGGUACCAUGUUGUUUGUCAAAUUAGACUGAGCUCUGAUAUUGCCUUUUUCACCAGGUGGUCCAUACUCUCUUCUACCUUCCUUUAAUACACUGGCAUAUGUUUUGUAAGCCCUCGCCACAUUGUAUUCAAUUGUUUGUUAAUGUGUUUGUCUUCCUAAUUAGACUGUGAAAUUCUUGAAGGCAGAGAUUAGGUCCUGUUCAUCUUUGCAUGAUCAGUGUCUUGCCUAGCAUAUAGUAGGGUUCCCUUAGGGUUCCUUUUUUUUAUGAAAUGAACUAACAUUCAGUAUUUCAAAAUUACUGGAAUUUAGUGUGCUUUAGGUAACAGUGAGCAGAAGGAAGAUGGAUAAGAUAUAAGGCUGGGAAAAUAUGGGGGAAAUCCAUGUUUGAGGUUAAUUGAUUAAAAAGGAGGAGGCUUGAGUGACUUCUGUGCUUGGUGUGAUGGUGAUAUUCACCAAGGCAAGUUAUACUAGAAUAAUAAGUUAGGGAGAUAAUAGUGAGUUGAGACAUUUAUGAAAUAUGCAGGUGUCUAGUAGAGUUGGAUAAAUAGGCCUGGAGCUUGAGAAGUUCAGAACCAAGAUAGUGAUUUGGACAUCGUGAGAGGCAGUAUACAGUAAUAAUAAUAAUAAAUAGACUGGACGUGGUGGCUCACGCCUGUAAUCCCAGCACUUUGAGAGGCCGAGGCAGGUGGAUUGCCUGAGCUCAGGAGUUCAAGACAAGCCUGGGCAACAUUGCAAAACCCAUUCUCUACAAAAAAUACAAAAAAUUAGCCAGGCAUGGUGGCAUGCGCCUGUGGUCCCAGCUACUUGGGAGGCUGAAGUGGGAGAAUCGCUUGAGCCUGGGAGGUUGAGGCUGCAGUGAGCUCACAUCAUGCCACUGCACUCCAGCCUGGGUGACAGAGGGAGAUCCUAUCUCAAAAAACAAAACAAAACAUAAUAAUAAUAAUAAUAAUAAUAAUAACUAUUAAAGCACUUUCUAAGUGCUGGGUACUAAUUGCUCAGCACAUGCUAGUACCCUUAAUACUCACAUAAACAAACUUUUGGAGAUGUGCAUAAUUAUCCCCAUUUUACAAACUAGAAACCAAGCCACAGACCUCCUAGUUUACCUUAGGUCGUGCAGAUCUCAAACCAAGCAGGAUUCCCACCCAGUGACUCUGCUUCUAAAAUUCGUACUCAGUAUACACCAGUAUAGGGACUGGGACUGUCAGUCUUUCCUUUGCUUUGUGACUUGAUUAUAUUACCCACCACUUCUGUGCCUCAGUUUCCUCAUUUGCAAACUGAGGGAAAUAAUACUAUCUAUCUCAAAACAGUGCUUGUUAUAUGUUAGCACUCAAUCAACCUUAAAUUAUUAUUUCCAUUAGCCUAUUUAUGAAUGUUGAAAUCAUGGAGGAAAAGGAGAUUGGGUGAAUGUGGGGAAUAAGAAAACCAGAGGGUCCUUGAUCCUUUAAGCAGUGGUUGGCUAGAAAGAAAUCCAGUAUGGAGGCUGUGUGAUCAUCCCAAGGGGAAAAGUGAGGCUUCCAGACCUGGGGCCUGGGCAGAAUCUGGGAUGCCUGGUCCAGUGCAGAGGGCUGAGUAUCAGUCAUUCACAGCAAGCACUGCAGUGCUAGAAUGAUAAACUGAGAAGAAAUAUGCCAAAUCAAAAGCCUAGGCAGCCAUCCAAGUGUAAGGUCCAUCUAAAGGAACUGAGCAAAGAAAUAUGAAAAAAAAAACAGCUUAGACAGUAUGAGACAAAGCUUGAAGUUUCUUAAGCAGGUGGUAGGGACUUCAUAGGAUGCCAUGAAACUGAGAGUUGUCCAGAAGACAGCUCUUAAAGACAGUGGUCUUGCACAAGCUGGGUUUGAAGAAUAAUCAAAGUGGUAGGAGGGAAUAAGGAUGAGGCAGGAUCUUAAAAACCCAGGGAGGAAAAAAAUGUGAAGGAUGUGGGGAGAUGGGAGAUUUGGUAAGAUUCCAUUUCUUUCCAGCACCCACAACUUAUUAAUCCCUACAACAGUUUAAUGAGGUGGGCAGUCCAUUUAUUCCCGUUUUUAUAGUUUAGGAAAAUUAGACAACAAUAAUAACUGGCUUUGGGUUACACAGCUGGUGAGCGUCAGAGCUGGGAUUUUAACCCAGGCUGCCUGGCUCUCACGCCCAUGCUUGCAAUCAUCUAUUGCAUAGUCCUUAUUCCUGGCUGAUUUCCUCUUUGUCGUGGCUCACUUUACUCCAUCCCUUGUAUGUUUCUAAAGACGGAGAACAUGGCGUGAACCCCUGAGCGAGACUCCAUCUCAAAAAAAAAAAAAAAAAAAAGAGAGAGAGAGAACUUGUUUAUAGCAUUUUCCAUCUCCAUCUACCUACUGUACACUCAGCAAGCCUGGGCGGGGGUAGGGGAGUGGUACACGUUUAGAUUUUAAGGAAUUGCCCUCUCAAAUAUUUACGUAUAGUCUGAGUCCUUUCCAUUCCCAGAAGGCUUCAGAUUUUUUGAAACAGGUUUCAGAAAAAAAAAAAACUAAAUACUUUCUUCUUUCACUUCAGGAACCUAUGAAGGAAAAAGAAAUCAGUUAAUAUUCCAAAAUGAAUUAAUGGAUUGCUGAGUCAGCAAAUUUGAUAUUAAAACCAUUCAAUUACUUUCUAAAACAAGAAGGAUUAGUUGAUAUUGAUUGGCUGUUUGGUGAGAUGUAAAAUGUAAAAAGUACUUUGAAAUAUGUGUUAUAUCUGUGUUUAAAGAGAGAGCGAGACAAAAUAAUAAGAACAUUAAAGUUAGAAAUGUCUACUUCAAUUGGAUCCACUCCCUCAGUAAGUCAGUAAGUGCAGUGUAAUGCUCUUUAAAGCACAGUUAGAGGAUUUAAAAUCCAUAAUGACCUUGAAGGUCUUACCAGGGUUCCAGAUAAUCAAUACUGUUAAUAAUCACCUAAUGCGUAUUAAGGAUCAAUACAUUCUAAAAUUUAAAAUAGCCUGAUUUGGAAUCAUGUUGGUACUAAUUAAAAUUCCAAUUUUAGCCAACAAAAACAUAAUUGAAUAUAAAUGUUGGUUAAAUGAAUACAUAACUGCAUGAAUAGAAUAAAAAACCCAGGCAUAAAUUAUGAUGGUUUGCUUUCUGGUCCUGUAACAUAUUCUUUUUGAAUAUUCUAAUCUCAGAUAAUUACAUACAGAUUUUAAAAGUCAAAUUUUCUAUUAAGAUCAAUUCUUUCUUCUAUGUACAUUAUCCAUUAGGUAUUAAAUUCCAUUGCAUAGAGACAGUGAGAAGAUUAAUUUGGGUGGAUUUGAUUGUUGGGGUAAAUAUAGUAUAUGAAAAUUAAUCUUAAACUAAAUUAAAAAUUCAAGUUUCCCCAGCCUACACUUACUCUGUAGCUCAAAAGUUUUUAACUUUGGGUGUACUUCAAAUUGUCUGGGGGAACGUUUAAAAAUACCAUUUAGUGAAUCCCACCCAGGGCAAUUAAAUCAGAAUCUCUGUAGGUGGAGCAUUAGUGUUUCUCAGAAUCCUCCCAGUGAUUCCAGUGUGCAUCCAGGGCUGAGAACCAACGUUCUAGUCUUUUUAUUAGCUUUAUUAGCAUUGAUCUUAAGAUCCCCUACUCUAGGAUGUCAGAAUUUCAGGGAUAAAGACAUGGUCAGUAAAAGCUACCUUAGUCAUUUGUUCAUUCACCCUGACAACAUAUAUAUUAAGAUGACAGAAUUAAAUGUUACAUGAAGAUCUCGGGAACACCAACCAAUAACACAAAGCCCUAGUUCUCAAGUGACUGAGAGUCUAGUAUAAGGGGGAAAAGACAGGUGAAAUGCUGUAUUAAAAGAUAUACAAGAAAAAAACAAGGCCAACCUGAUAUCCCACCAUCACCACAAAAGCAACACAUCCAAAAGCUUCUCUCUUCUCUCUCCACACAUUUUCCUAGUCCUUAGAUAUUAGGACCACAAUCCUAGAAAACUAGGCUUGGAUAUUAGCCUGGCGCUGACUCCUUCCCACAUGUCUUGAGUUGACAAAUUGUGUGGGUUUUCCCUCAACAGUAUUCCUUACGUCUGCGUCCUCCUCUGGAUUCUCACUUUGUGCCUAUAGUCUUAUUUAAUGUUGGUCUAGAAUAUAAAUACAGUGAUAUAACUUGACUCUCUAUACAUACUUCCUUAUUGCAAAACAUAACUGGUCAUGUCCAAAAACCUCCAGUGAUUUUUUUUAUGUAUAAGAAUUUUAAAUUACUGAUUUUUCAAAUUCUAAUAACCUCCACUAUUUGUCCAAACCAUGUAAGUAUUUAUUCUGGUACUUUAUAUGAAUAUUAUCAAGAAGCAAUGAAAAAAAGCUAACUAAAUAUUUCACAGGAAUGGAAAACCAAACACCGCAUGUUCUCACUCCUAAGUGGGAGUUGAACAAGGAGAACACAUGGACACAGGGAGGGCAACAUCACACACUGGGGCCUGUUGGAGGGUGGGGGGGGUUAGGGGAGGGAUAGCAUUAGGAGAAAUACCAAACAUAGAUGAUGGGUUGAUGGGUGAAGCAAACCACAAUGGCACAUGUAUAUCUAUGUAACAAACCUUCACCUUCUGCACAGGUAUCCCAGAACUUAAAGUAUAACAAAAAUAAAAAUAAAUAAAUAUUUCAUACAUGUCAAACACAAACUUUUAUGAAUAUAUUACAAGGAGGAAUGCAAAAAGCAAAAAUGUAAAUUUAUAGUACAUAGUAUGGGAAUAUUAAACAUCAUUCCAGUAUAAAUUAUUCAUAGAGUCAAUUAAAGUAUUAUUAAAAUAGCAAACAAAAUAGUAGAUUAAGUGGAAAAAACAAUUAAGAUAAUUGAAAGCAAAAUAAUAUUCUUGGAUUUUACAGAUUUGUGAUGUAAAGAAGCAAAGCUUCAUUUGAUCCAUUUUGUUGUAAUUUUUCUAACUGCUCCAGAAAUUCUUUUAACAUCUACACUGCUCAGGGAAACGCUGUAGAGGACACUGUAAACUCUUUCUGCAUAUUUUCCUUUGAUUCCUUCAUCUUCAGAUAAUCCUACUUUUUUCAUAAAUGCAAGAUCUUUGUUACUACCUUUUUUUCUUUUCAAGAACUGGAAUAUUUUUAAUUCAGUUAGACCCAUAAUUUUUAUUUCUAUUUUUUUUUAACAUUUCCAGUUUGUAUUUACCGUCUUUUGUUUUGUAUACUUGGAAAUACCUAUGCAGAGUUACCGCUCUCCCUAUCAACACUGUCUUAACAGAUGUGCCAUCAGAGUAGGAUUAUUCCUGCAAAACAAGUUUGCAGCACCACAGUAUGUUUGCUUAUUAUGUGUGGACCAUUUGUCUGUUUGUCUUUUUUGUAUAAAUUGAACAAUGAAAUCAUUGAUUUUACUUGUAUGAUGUAAUAAAUGUCAGAAUAAUAAAACAAUAUUAUACUAACAAAAUUACCAGUACUUUGGACUUCAAAUUAAUAUGACAUUAUUGAAUGCUGAAAUACUGAAAGCCUGUAUUGAAAUCACUAGAUUGCAUUAUUAAUAUCACAGUACUUCUUAAAAUAAUGGUAUUUUUACUAGGUGGACUUUUCUAAGUGAGGCACUGUAGGUACAGUGGUCCAAAUUUACAUAAUCCUCUGAAAUAUUCUGUAAUUUAAUUAUUGUGACUCUAUUGUAAAGUAAUAAAAUUGCUAAGGUCAUAUAGUUGCCCAUCAGAAGAAGCAAUUCCUGUUAUUUAGUUAGCGUUUUUGCAUUAGAUUGAAAUGUCAGAAGGUCACUGGAAAGUUUGCUAAUAUUUUUUAAAUUGUAUUUUUAUUCUUUGCAUUGUUUCUGAGAUUAAAAAAUCAUUUAACAUAAUGUAUUGUAUUUUAUUUGGAGAAAAUUCUU